rnacentral:precursor_RNA from 1 species
UGUGGUACAGGGAGUAAAGGCCAGUUGUAUUCUUGCACAGGGCUAACUCCCGUGUACUGCACU